CACGGGAUCUAAUCUCCAAUCGCUGAAGUCCGACGAAUGACGAGAACUCCAAUCCGCGAAAGUAUUGCGCAGGCCCGGAAUAUAUUCCGCAAUCACCGUGAAACCCCUGUCCAGGCAAAAGGACCAAAACCCCUUCGCCAGAUGGGAGAGUAUCGAUGAAUGAGUGCCCCCAUGGCAUUGACAUACCGCAAGGCUGACACGUUGUCAAUCCUGAGCCUGAUGCAAGCCGAGAUCCUGU